rnacentral:ncRNA from 1 species
UCGCAGGGGUGCCGACGGCUGAGAUCACAAUUAGAUUUGUGAAACCCUUUCACCUGAUCCGGAUAAUGCCGGCGUAGGGAGCUAUGUA